rnacentral:lncRNA from 1 species
CGGAGUGGAUCAGUCCAGACGACAGCCCAGACCGACCCCGUCUCGAGCAGCGGUGGAGCUCGGUCGCUCCGUCCGUCAUCCGGCGGUCUCUCGGCUUCCAACCGGUGGCCACGGCUUCGGCUUGUCGUCCCCAACGUGACUGUGAUGUUGUUUCUCCAUGGGAAGCUUCGGUGAGAGAGAAAAGAAGGAGAGAAGGUGGAUGUUUUUCCGAUCGGCUUUCCGAUUCCGGCGACGGCGAGGAGAAAGAAUGCUAGCGGCAGCUUCCUCUCGUCCUCGUCCUCUUGGUCAUGUCCAUGCCCUUGAAUUUCAGAUAAGAAGUCUGGAGUGAGUGAUUCGAAGUGGAGAAGGAGAGGCUGGGUUCGCCGGCGAGUCUCCGAUUCCGGCAGCGUCGACGCCUCUCACCGGUGUGGAUAGCUUUGUUUCCUCAUCCUCGACGUCCCUGUAACUUCAGCUUGUCGAGACGAGGUCAGGUGAGGGAGAAUCGAAGAGAAGAAGUUUUGGGAUUUUCCGGCAAGCGUUCGAUGUUUUCCGGCCACCGGCGAAGGCAAGCGAGGUAUCAAUCUUCAUCUACUCGUCGAGCUUUACAUGUUUCUAUAAUUGAAAUUGAGUUUGGAUUGAGUUUAGAAGAAUUUGGAUUUGGGCAGUGUGACCACCGUGGGUGGCCACUGUGCACGGCGGCGGGAGAGGCGGUUAUUCUUAUUGAUUUCCAGCUUUAUUGUCUUGAAUCUGUUAGAGUGAUUUGAUAUGCUUGGAUUCGAUUUUAGUUGUGAAUUGAAGAAAUUGGUUGAGUGAAGUGGUGUUGGCAGUGGCGGCGGCAGCGGUGAUGAUUUUAGAUUUUCUGUUCAUAUCAGGUUACCGUGUUUGGUGUUGAUAGCAGUUGUGAUGGUAUCGUUGUGAGUUUUGAAGAUGAAGUUAAGAAUUUGUGAGGUUUAGAGAUUAUAAGGUUUCUGUUCAACUCCUUUUGCUGGUCUUGGAGAUGUUUUAGAUGUUGAUCAGUUUUAUUAAUCUUGACAGAAACUAUAGAGCAGAAAUCAGUAUUGGUUGUACUUGAAGUGCGGAAUUAGAGGAGUUUGGUGAUGAUGGAGACGUUGGGGUUGUGUACUCUGUUAGUACUUAGUUCGAAAGUUCAUCCACAUGUUUUGGUAUUUUGAGAGCUGUGCUUUUAAUAUAAUGAAUUUGCUCAAGGGAGUUUUAAGAGCAUGCAUGUUUGAUCGGAGAUAUAGUCUUGACAUUAAGAAUUGAUUAAGUGAUGCCUAAGGAUGGAUUGAGAAUUGGUGUCCUUAAUGUGAGGACUAAUAUAGUUCAAAGCUUUUGGGUGUCCUUAGUAAAUUUCAAGGACUUGAUCGCAUUGAUUUGAAGUGAUUCGUCGACAUUCUUGGAAUGAGGAUUUGAUACGAGGAUCGAGUAACUAUCGACAUUCCAGGAGCAGAAGGAUAAGGAUUUCAGUAAGUGUGUCGCAGUGUUACUAAUUUUAGCUAGCGUUGGAAGUAGCGCUUGGAUUCCAGGUAGGGUCUCUCUCGGGGAACCUUUCUUAAAUUGAUAAUUAGAUUAUAAUUGAAAUGAGUGUUUGUGUGGCAUUGAUUGGUUAAUUAUUGAUUGUUAUCGUAUUUGAUAAAGCAUGUGUGAUCGUUGAUUUAUAUGAAAUUGAUGUUAUUGCUUUUCAUUAAAAGCAUGAGUUAAAUAUUGUAAUGCAAGUAUUGUUAAUUGUUGCAUACAUUAUGCAUUGUGAGGAAAUGUGAGGAUAGUGAGAAUGGUGAUUAUGGAGAAGAAUGAGAUUGAUAGAAUAGAUAUAUUUUGUGUAGUUGAGUUUCCUCAUGGGUUGUCCAAGAUCCAGGGUAGCCCACACGUGCAUAAAUAUGGGGAAAGUAUGCCCCUUCGAUGGCGGACAUCGAUAAAACGAUCUUAUCGGGUUUCGGGUUUGGAGACCAUGAGUAUAACAAGACGACUAACAAAAGAGGUACAGGCGGUGAGAUAUUAUUGAUUGUUAAAUCAUAUAUUCGAGGCAUUUAAGUCACCCCCGGUUGGUAAAAUACACGGUAUGAGACAUGUAGGGUCACCUGUCUUUGAUGUAUGGACUGAUAGCCAGUAAUUGAGGAAGUCAUUCAUUCAUUAGCAUACAUGCAUCGAAUUGUCAUUAUUUAUUUUAUUUAAAGUAUUGUUUGUUUUUUUGUUAACUUGUUUGGGCGACGUAGUUAAGUAUAACCUAAAAAAGUUAGGCCCUACUGAGCUUAAGCUCACCCCUAUAGAUUUUUGUUCAGGUACUACGAGACUCGUCUUUUGAGAAGACUAACUGUGAAGUUUAGCUGACGUGUUCGAGAGUUUAGAAGAGUUACAGAAGAUUAGAAAUGAGAUAGAUCGCAAGGCCUGCCUGUUUUGUCUUUGUAAUUGUUUUUGCUAUUGUAAACGUUUUAUUUUCUUUUAUUUCAAGAAAAGUAUUUGAAAUUGUUUUAUUUUCUUUUACUUUUUUCGCUCACGCCUCGGGUUUGGCGUCAGGUGUUUGGAAACCACCGACACCGGGUCCGGGGUGUGACAUAUCUUAUUUGAUUUCAAUCAUGGAGCAAGUCUGAUCUGAGCAAAGUUGAGGGGUUUCAAGCUGUCAUGGUUUCUGAGUAAGGAGGUGUCGACACAAGCAAGGGUGACUCAGCUAGAUCUCGCAACCGGUAUCAAUGGUGUGAUCCGUUUUUGGCGUAGGGUUUUGGGGUGGUUUCCGUUUGGAGCCCGCCGACUUCACGUUGUCAUCGAAUCGAGGACCUAUGUAGGUGCGUGCUGCUGAGAGAGAGGGAGGAGUCUCAUGGUUAUGG